rnacentral:rRNA from 1 species
AUUGAACGCUGGCGGCAGGCCUAACACAUGCAAGUCGAGCGAGCGGCGGACGGGUGAGGAAUGUAUGGAGACUGCCCGAUAGAGGGGGAUAACUACUGGAAACGGUAGCUAAUACCGCAUACUAACGGAUACCCCAUAUGGGAUUAGCUAGUAGGUGAGGUAAUGGCUCACCUAGGCGACGAUCCAUAGCGGGUCUGAGAGGAUGAUCAGCCACAUGGGGACUGAGACACGGCCCAGACUCCGACGGAGGCAGCAGUGGGGAAUCGUGCACAAUGGGCGAAAGCCUGAUGCAGCAAUGCCGCGUGUAUGAAGAAGUCUCUAGGGUUGUAAAGUACUUGCAGUCGGGAGGCGGUACCGACAGAAGAAGCACCGGCUAACUCCGUGCCAGCAGCCGCGGUAAUUC